rnacentral:rRNA from 1 species
AUUGAACGCUGGCGGCAUGCCUUACACAUGCAAGUCGAACGGCAGCGCGGGAGCAAUCCUGGCGGCGAGUGGCGAACGGGUGAGUAACAUAUCGGAACGUGCCCUGGAGUGGGGGAUAACUAGUCGAAAGAUUAGCUAAUACCGCAUACGAUCUACGGAUGAAAGUGGGGGAUCGCAAGACCUCAUGCUCGUGGAGCGGCCGAUAUCUGAUAGCUAGUUGGUAGGGUAAAAGCCUACCAAGGCAUCGAUCAGUAGCUGGUCUGAGAGGACGACCAGCCACACUGGGACUGAGACACGGCCCAGACUCCUACGGGAGGCAGCAGUGGGGAAUUUUGGACAAUGGGGCAACCCUGAUCCAGCAAUGCCGCGUGAGUGAGGAAGGCC